rnacentral:rRNA from 1 species
AUUGAACGCUGGCGGCAUGCCUUACGCAUGCAAGUCGAACGGCAGCACGGAGCUUGCUCUGGUGGCGAGUGGCGAACGGGUGAGUAAUAUAUCGGAACGUACCCAAGAGUGGGGGAUAACGUAGCGAAAGUUACGCUAAUACCGCAUACGAUCUAAGGAUGAAAGCAGGGGACCUUCGGGCCUUGUGCUCCUGGAGCGGCCGAUAUCUGAUUAACUAGUUGGUGAGGUAAAGGCUCACCAAGGCAUCGAUCAGUAGCUGGUCUGAGAGGACGACCAGCCACACUGGAACUGAGACACGGUCCAGACUCCUACGGGAGGCAGCAGUGGGGAAUUUUGGACAAUGGGGGCAACCCUGAUCCAGCAAUGCCGCGUGAGUGAAGAAGGCCUUCGGGUUGUAAAGCUCUUUUGUCAGGGAAGAAACGGUGAAGGCUAAUAUCCUUUGCUAAUGACGGUACCUGAAGAAUAAGCACCGGCUAACUACGUGCCAGCCGCCGCGGUAAAAC